GACAUCGUGCCCGAGUUGGUUAAGGGGAUGGACUUGAAAUCCAUUGGGCAUUGCCCUCGCGAGUUCGAAUCUCGUCGAUGUCG
rnacentral:tRNA from 1 species